GACAGAGGGUGCAAACGUUCGUUCGGAAUUACGUGGCGUAAAGCGCAUGUAGGCGGCUCGGAAAGUCGGAUGUGAAAGCCCUGGGCUCAACCUAGGAAGAGCAUUCGGAAACUCCCGAGCUUGAGUUCUGGAGAGGAAGGCGGAAUUCGUCGGAUCGUAGAGGUGGAAAUUCGAUAGAUAUCGAGAAGGAACACCGGUGGCGAAGGCGGCCUUCUGGACGAGUGACU
rnacentral:rRNA from 1 species